GAUGAACGCUGGCGGAGUGCCUAACACAUGCAAGUCGAGCGGCAGCGCGAGUAGUUUCCUACUUGGCGGCGAGCGGCGGACGGCUGAGUAACGCGUGGGAACAUGCCCCAAAGUGAGGAAUAACUGCCCGAAAGGGUAGCUAAUGCCGCAUAUGAUCUUCGGAUUAAAGGAUUUAUCCGCUUUGGGAGUGGCCUGCGUACAAUUAGAUAGUUGGUGAGGUAAAGGCUCACCAAGUCGACGAUCGUUAACUGGUUUGAGAGGAUGAUCAGUCAGACUGGAACUGAGACACGGUCCAGACUCCUACGGGAGGCAGCAGUGAGGAAUCUUCCACAAUGGGCGAAAGCCUGAUGGAGCAACUCCGCGUGCAGGAUGAAGGCCUUCGGGUUGUAAACUGCUUUUAUGAGUGAAGAAUAUGACGGUAACUCAUGAAUAAGGGGCGGCUAACUACGUG
rnacentral:rRNA from 1 species